rnacentral:rRNA from 1 species
CCUACGCUUGACCUCGAAUUAGGUAAGGAUACCCGCUGAACUUAAGCAUAUCAAUAAGCGGAGGAAAAGAAACCAACAGGGAUUGCCUCAGUAACGGCGAGUGAAGCGGCAACAGCUCAAAUUUGAAAUCUGGCGUCCUCGACGUCCGAGUUGUAAUUUGCAGAGGAUACUUCGGCAUCGGUGCCGCUCCAGGUUCUUUGGAACAGGACGCCACAGAGGGUGAGAGCCCCGUCUCUGGGCGGUGCCAGAUGCCAUGUGAAGUGCCUUCGACGAGUCGAGUUGUUUGGGAAUGCAGCUCUAAAUGGGAGGUAAAUUUCUUCCAAAGCUAAAUACAGGUUGGAGACCGAUAGCGCACAAGUAGAGUGAUCGAAAGAUGAAAAGUACUUUGGAAAGAGAGUCAAACAGCGCGUGAAAUUGUUAAAAGGGAAGCGCUUGCAGUCAGACUUGGCCGCCCGGUUCGGCCGUCCCUCGUGGACGGUCUCCGCCGUGGCGGGCAGGCCAGCAUUACCUUGGGCGGGUGGAUAAAGGCUGCGGGAAUGUGGCACCUCUCGGGGUGUGUUAUAGCCCGCGGCACAAUACAUCCUGCCCGGGGUAAGGAACGCGCUUCGGCUCGGAUGCUGGCGUAAUGGCUGCAAGCGGCCCGUCUUGAAACACGGACCAAGGAGUCUAACAUCUGUGCGAGUGUUUGGGUGUCAAGCCCUUACGCGCAAUGAAAGUGAACGGAGGUGGGAGCCCUCGGGCGCACCAUCGACCGAUCCUGAUGUCUUCGGAAGGAUUUGAGUAAGAGCACAGCUGUUGGGACCCGAAAGAUGGUGAACUAUGCCUAAGCAGGGUGAAGCCAGAGGAAACUCUGGUGGAGGCUCGCAGCGGUUCUGACGUGCAAAUCGAUCGUCAAAUUUGGGUAUAGGGGCGAAAGACUAAUCGAACC